rnacentral:rRNA from 1 species
GUGAGGAAUAUUGCGCAAUGGAGGCAACUCUGACGCAGCCAUGCCGCGUGCAGGAAGAAGGCGCUACGCGUUGUAAACUGCUUUUAACCGGGAAGAAACCCCAGGACGUGUCCUGGGUUGACGGUACCGGAGGAAUAAGCACCGGCUAACUUCGUGCCAGCAGCCGCGGUAAUACGAAGGGUGCAAGCGUUAUCCGGAUUCAUUGGGUUUAACGGGUGCGUAGGCGGAGCGUUAAGUCAGUGGUGAAAUCCUGCAGCUUAACUGUAGACUUGCCAUUGAUACUGGCGCUCUUGAGUGCGCUUGAAGUGGGCGGAAUGUGCCGUGUAGCGGUGAAAUGCUUAGAUAUGGCACAGAACACCAAUUGCGAAGGCAGCUCACUAAGGCGAUACUGACGCUGAGGCACGAAAGCGUGGGGAUCGAACAGGAUUAGAAACCCUAGUAGUCC